rnacentral:tRNA from 1 species
CCAUCGGUGGCUCAGUGGUAGAGUGCUCGCCUGCCACGCGGCCGGCCCGGGUUCGAUUCCCGGCCGACGCA